AUACGUAGGUGACAAGCGUUGUCCGGAUUUAUUGGGCGUAAAGCGAGCGCAGGCGGUCUUUUAAGUCUGAUGUGAAAGCCCACGGCUCAACCGUGGAUGGUCAUUGGACACUGGAAGACUUGAAUGCAGAAGAGGAAAGUGGAAUUCCAUGUGUAGCGGUGAAAUGCGUAGAUAUAUGGAGGAACACCAGUGGCGAAGGCGACUUUCUGGUCUGUAAUUGACGCUGAGGCUCGAAAGCGUGGGGAGCAAACAGGAUUAGAUACCCUGGUAGUCCACGCCGUAAACGAUGAGUGCUAAGUGUUGGAGGGUUUCCGCCCUUCAGUGCUGGAGCUAACGCAUUAAGCACUCCGCCUGGGGAGUACGGCCGCAAGGCUGAAACUUAAAGGAAUUGGCGGGG
rnacentral:rRNA from 1 species